AUGGCCUGAUACCCUUGUGUAUGGUUGAGGUUGAAUGAAGGUAUAAGUCAUGGGAGUUGAAUGGAAUGCUGAAUAGGAAGGCUGAGGUAUUUGAAGGGAUAUCAUCAGGAUACUAUUAUCUUCUGGAUAGAGCCAGAUUUCCAUGAGAGCAUCAAGAUGGCAAAACUAUGAGAGGAAGAGGGAAACAGAGAAGCAACAGGCAGCAGUCAACCCAACUGCUAGUCCCCCA